rnacentral:tRNA from 1 species
GGGCCUGUAGCUCAAUGGUUAGAGCCGUCGGCUCAUAACCGAUUGGUUGCAGGUUCGAGUCCUGCCGGGCCCACCAAAU